rnacentral:tRNA from 4 species
GGCCAGAUAGCUCAGAUGGUAGAGCAGAGGACUGAAAAUCCUUGUGUCGCUGGUUCGAUUCCAGUUCUGGCCA